rnacentral:rRNA from 1 species
GACGAACGCUGGCGGCGUGCUUAACACAUGCAAGUCGAACGGAAAGGCCCCUUUGGGGGUACUCGAGUGGCGAACGGGUGAGUAACACGUGAGUAACCUGCCCUUGACUUCGGGAUAACUUCAGGAAACUGGGGCUAAUACCGGAUAGGAAUCCUUGCUGCAUGGUGGGGGUUGGAAAGCUUCGGCGGUUUUGGAUGGACUCGCGGCUUAUCAGCUUGUUGGUGGGGUAGUGGCUUACCAAGGCUUGACGGGUAGCCGGCCUGAGAGGGCGACCGGCCACAUUGGGACUGAGAUACGGCCCAGACUCCUACGGGAGGCAGCAGUGGGGAAUAUUGCACAAUGGGCGGAAGCCUGAUGCAGCAACGCCGCGUGCGGGAUGACGGCCUUCGGGUUGGAAACCGCUUUCAGCAGGGGCGAAGCUUGUGGUGACGGUACCUGCAGAAGAAGCACCGGCUAACUACGUG